rnacentral:rRNA from 1 species
UGGUGGAGUGAUUUGUCUGGUUAAUUCCGUUAACGAACGAGACCUCAGCCUACUAAAUAGCCGGUCGAACCUGACGGUUCGUUCUGCGGCUUCUUAGAGGGACAUUCGGUUUCGAGCCGAAGGAAGUUUGAGGCAAUAACA